rnacentral:sRNA from 1 species
GACAUUCCAUACUUUUCUGCAAGUAAGCUGAUCAUCUCUGAGGCCUUGUAUUGACCAGUCUGUGCGAUGCAGACAACACUAGUCACUUGCCGGAACUUAUAUGUGUCUUAAAAACCGGCAGCCACAAUGCUGCAAUGCAUUCUGGUUCACAGAUCAAACACUAGUGGUCUACUGUCCAUAACAACACCUGCAGCUCCCCUACAGCUUGUUCUGCAGAUGUGUUGUGGGAUCCACCCGGUAGAUUAAAAUAUGACCGACCUCUUCUAGAAAUAGAAAAGAUCUCGUGUUCCGUAGGUGAACCUGCGGAAGGAUCAUUACAGAGUUAGGGUCUUCCAGGCUCGACCUCCCACCCAGUGUGUACCUACCUUUGUUGCUUUGGCGGGCCUGCUGGGUAAACCCGCCGGUGGCCACAGGCUCCCGAGCGCCCGUCAGAGACCCGUCCAAUUCUGUCAAUGAUGUAGUCUGAGUAUCAAUACAAUCAUCAAAACUUUCAACAACGGAUCUCUUGGUUCUGGCAUCGAUGAAGAACGCAGCGAAAUGCGAUAAGUAAUGUGAAUCGCAGAAUUCAGUGAAUCAUCGAAUCUUUGAACGCACAUUGCGCCCCUUGGUAUUCCGAGGGGCAUGCCUGUUCGAGCGUCAUUACACCACUCAAGCUCCGCUUGGUAUUGGGUCCUCGUCCCUGUGGACGGGCCUGGAAAUCAGUGGCGUCGCAGCCCGGCUUCGAGCAGUAUUAAUUAGUCCUUUUGCUCCGGAAGCCCCGGGUCUGAGCUUGCCAGCCAACCCCCAAUCUUCUCUAAGGUUGACCUCGGAUCAGGUAGGGAUACCCGCUGAACUUAAGCAUAUCAAUAAGCGGAGGAAAAGAAACCAACAGGGAUUGCCUCAGUAACGGCGAGUGAAGCGGCAACAGCUCAAAUUUGAAAUCUGGCCCUCUCAGGGUCCGAGUUGUAGUUUGUAGAGGAUGCUUCGGGUACUGCUCCGGUUUAAGUUCCUUGGAACAGGACGUCAUAGAGGGUGAGAGUCCCGUAUGUGAUCGGCCGCCACGCCCGUGUGAAGCUCCUUCGACGAGUCGAGUUGUUUGGGAAUGCAGCUCAAAAUGGGUGGUAAAUUUCAUCUAAAGCUAAAUAUUGGCCAGAGACCGAUAGCGCACAAGUAGAGUGAUCGAAAGAUGAAAAGCACUUUGGAAAGAGAGUUAAACAGUACGUGAAAUUGUUGAAAGGGAAGCGCUUGCGACCAGACUUGCCUGCAGGUGAUCAAUCGGUAUUUUUACCGGUGCACUCGCUUGCGGUCAGGCCAGCAUCGGUUCGGGCGGCUGGAUAAAGUCCCCCGGAAUGUGGCUCCUCACGGGGAGUGUUAUAGCCGGGGGUGGAAUGCAGCCCGCCGGGACCGAGGACCGCGCU